rnacentral:rRNA from 1 species
AGGACGAACGCUGGCGGCGUGCUUAACACAUGCAAGUCGAGCGGAAAGGCCCUUCGGGGUACUCGAGCGGCGAACGGGUGAGUAACACGUGAGUAACCUGCCCCUAGCUCUGGGAUAGCUCCGGGAAACCGGGAUUAAUACCAGAUACGACCACUUUAGACAUCUGUCGUGGUGGAAAGGAUUCCGGCUAGGGAUGGGCUCGCGGCCUAUCAGCUUGUUGGUGGGGUAACGGCCUACCAAGGCGACGACGGGUAGCCGGCCUGAGAGGGCGACCGGCCACACUGGGACUGAGACACGGCCCAGACUCCUACGGGAGGGCAGCAGUGGGGAAUAUUGCGCAAUGGGCGAAAGCCUGACGCAGCGACGCCGCGUGGGGGAUGAAGGCCUUCGGGUUGUAAACCCCUUUCAGCAGGGACGAAGCGAAAGUGACGGUACCUGCAGAAGAAGCGCCGGCUAACUACGCGCCAGCAGCCGC